GCCGGGUGCGGUGGCACGUGCCUGUAGUCUCAGCUAUUCAGGAGGCUGAGGUGGGAGGAUCGCUUGAGCCCAGUUCUGGGCUGUAGUGCACUAUGCCGAUCCGGUGUCCGCACUAAGUUCGGCAUCAAUAUGGUGACCUCCCGGGAGCAGGGGAUCACCAGGUUGCCUAAGGAGAGGCGAACUGGCCCAGGUUGGAAAUGGAGCAGGUCAAAACUCCCAUGGUGAUCAGUAGUGGGAUCGUGCCUGUGAAGAGCCACUGCACUCCAGCCUGGGCAACAUAGGGAGACCCCAUCUCUA
rnacentral:SRP_RNA from 1 species